ACUUAACAUUAAAAAGUAAUAUAAACUCAACUAAAAUCUCGCCAUUCCACCUUUAUUUCGAAAGCUUGAAGCAAAACAGAUUAAACAUAAUGAAGCUUAUUAUAGGAUUAUUAUUGGUCUUUACAAUUUCACUCUGUAAUUCAGAAGAAACACCGGCUGCCAGAUGCCGUCAAUGGAUGGGAACAACCUGGUUCUCGUUCUACGACACGUGCAACCAAGUCGACUGCCCUUGCUUCCCAGAGCUAGUUGAUUGGGCACCCUUGCCAACACCCGAUUGUGCGGCAUGUUGCAUGUCCACCAUGAUCGGAUGUAAUUACCAGAUUGAUACUUUGGUCGCCCUCGAAAAUCACAAAAAAGCACAAAAUGAAUGCUGUAGAAACGCCACCAGUGCGAAAUGAUUAAAUUUUGCAGUUUUUUGCAGAGAUUUGAUUAAAUAUUAAAAAAUAGAAAUAAAACUUUUGGCUAGCAA